CCUCCAUCUCUCUAUAAUACACUAAAAUGGACAGCUCCCAUCUCUCUCUGGCAAUGAUCGACUUCGAUCUUACUAUAGCACACAAAUACUAGCAGUUCUGAUCUCUCUAUUACACAUUCACACCUAUGGUACAUAUAGACAGCCUGAAUCUCUCCCUAUAGCAAUCAUAUCAUACUGGCUGCUCUAUUCUCUCUAUAGCACGGUAAUCGUACCAGUUCCUAUCUCUCUCUCUAACACACUAAUCCUACCAGUUCCAAUCUCACUAUAACACGGCAAUAAUACCAGCUCCCAUCUCUCUAUAACACAGCAAUAAGACCAGCUCCCAUCUCUCUAUAACACGGCAAUAAUACCAGCUCCCAUCUCUCUAUAACACGGCAAUAAGGCCAGCUCCCAUCUCUCUAUAACACGGCAAUAAG